rnacentral:rRNA from 1 species
AUUGAACGCUGGCGGCAGGCCUAACACAUGCAAGUCGAGCGACCGGCGGACGGGUGAGUAAUGUAUGGGGACUGCCCGAUAGAGGGGGAUAACUACUGGAAACGGUAGCUAAUACAGCAUACUAUCGGAUAACCUAUAUGGGAUUAGCUAGUAGGUGAGGUAAUGGCUCACCUAGGCGACGAUCCCUAGCUGGUCUGAGAGGAUGAUCAGCCACACUGGGACGGAGACACGGCCCAGACUCCUAAGGAGGCAGUAGUGGGGAAUAUUGGCCAAUGGGCGCAAGCCUGAUGCAGCCAUGCCGCCUGUAUGAAGAAGGCCCUAGAGUUGUAAAGUACUUUCAGUCGUGAAGCGUUCCCUACAGAAGAAGCACCGGCUAGCUACGUGCCCGCAUCCGCGGUAAUUC